rnacentral:rRNA from 1 species
CAGGCCUAACAAUGCAAGUCGAACGAGAAAGUCCCUUCGGGGGCGAGUAAAGUGGCAGACGGUGAGUAAUGCAUGGGUAACUUGCCUUUGCGUCUGGGAUAACACUUUGAAAGAGUGCUAAUACCGGAUAUUAUCACUAUCGCUUCGGCGGCGGUGAUAAAGGUGGCCUCUCCUUGGAAGCUACCGCGCAAAGAGGGGCCCAUGUCCAUUAGCUUGUUGGUGGGGUAACAGCCUACCAAGGCGACGAUGGGUAGCCGCCUGAGAGGGUGUCCGGCCACACUGGGACUGAGAUACGGCCCAGACUCUACGGGAGGCAGCAGUGAGGAAUUUUGCGCAAUGGGAGAAAUCCUGACGAGCAAUGCCGUGUGAGUGAUGAAGCCCUUUGGGGUGUANAGCUCUGUCGAUGGGAAGAAAUGAGAUAAGGUCAAUACCCUUAUCCUUUGACGGUACCAUAAAGGAAGCCCCGGCUAACUCCGUGCCAGCAGCCGCGGUAAU